rnacentral:lncRNA from 1 species
CCAGGCCUUAGACAACUUGGUGGCAGUGGCUAUUAUCCGAACCUGUGUCAUGGCAGAUGCUGAAAGAGAGGAGCCAAAAAACAUCUAUUCAAUAGUUACCUUCAAAGAAUGGAAAAGGUCCCCUGCUUCCUGUCCGCGUUCCCACAGCUGCUGAGGGCCACAGCUCCCGCCUGUGCACAGAGGGUCCUUGCUGUGUGUACGAGAUGGUGGCUCCCUGCGCCAUGUGGCAGAUGUUCAGCAUCAGGAAUCAAAACAGCUUUCACACCACGCAGCACAUUCUUCUUCCAGUCCCGUUCAUUUCCUCUCGGUGGGAUGUGGAACAAUUUCUCUCAUCUGUUGCUCACUCAGUGGGUUUGGGAUUUUGUGAAUUUGACAGUGAGACUUAGAUUCCUCCCGAGUCUGUUCUGA